rnacentral:rRNA from 1 species
GAUGAACGCCAGCGGCAGGCCUAACACAUGCAAGUCGAGGGGCAGCACAGGUAGCAAUACUGGGUGGCGACCGGCGGAUGGGUGCGUAACGCGUAUGCAACCUACCAUUGAUUGGGGCAUAGCCCGAAGAAAUUCGGAUUAAUACUCCAUAAUAUUCAUUAAAGGCAUCUUUUAUGAAUUAAAGCUUUUGCGAUCAAUGAUGGGCAUGCGUGACAUUAGUUAGUUGGUGAGGUAACGGCUCACCAAAACGAUGAUGUCUAGGGGUUCUGAGAGGAUUAUCCCCCAACUGGUACUGAGACACGGACCAGACUCCUACGGGAGCAGCAGUGAGGAAUAUUGGUCAAGUGGACGCAAGUCUGAACCAGCCAUGCCGCGUGCAGGAUGACGGCCCUAGUGGGUUAGUAAACUGUCUUUUCCGACGGGAACGAACCCCUCCGACGUGUACCGGAGACUGGACGGUACCGUGGGAAUAGCAUCGGACUAACUCCGU